rnacentral:rRNA from 1 species
AUGGGGAUGAUUUGUUUCCAUGCACUAAAGGUGAUGAUAGUGUUGGGAUUGAAUGAGAUACCAAGGAAGCACAUACUGAAAAGAUGGACAGUAGAUGCGUGUGAUACCCUUCCAGAACAUCUGAAGCAUUAUCAAAAAGAUGUAGGCCUACCUGAUUGCACAACUUUCAGACACAAUGCUAUGUACAUCUCUGCUCUGGAAUUGGUUAUGAUGGGUGAUAGCAAUCCCAAGGAUUUUGACUAUGUCAUGAGCGGGCUAGCAGAAUUGAAGAAGGGUGCUUUGCCACUAAGUAAUCUUAAAGAUGGAAUGAGUCUAAUUGAAAAAAAGAAGGCAUGUAAGUCUUCUUUGUUGCUAAAUCUAUUGCUUCAAAGGUAG